UCUUCAGUAGCUUAGUGGUAGAGUGGUCGGCUGUUAACUGAUUGGUCAUAGGUUCAAAUCCUAUUUGGGGAG